rnacentral:hammerhead_ribozyme from 1 species
GUGUUGAUGAAGAGUCUCAAACUAGGAUGAAACAGCUGUCCAAUAC